AUGAACAUUGCCCUCCUGACCCGAUGGCUGUGGCGUAUUGGCAAUGGGGAGGGAGGCCUCUGGCUCACCAUCAUCCGUAAUAAAUACCUCCAUGGCCAACCUCUUGCCUUUUGCCAACUUACGGGUGGUUCCCAGUUCUGGCAGUCCGUGAUCCAGCUUCUACCCGUACUACGCAUCGGCACAUCCAUCUCAGUUGGCUCCGGAGCCUCGACCUUGUUUUGGUUCGACCGCUGGCUAGGGGACGCCCCCCUGGCGGCGCGUUUCCCAGAACUUUUUGCCAUUGCGGCUGACCCUCGGGUCUCUGUCGAGACGGCCCUUAUUGACUUAGGGCGUCUCGCCUUCCGGUGCCCCUUUGGCCCCCUUGAGGUGGCCGCCUGGGAUUCCCUCCUCCAAGACAUCGCACUUUUACCGAUGGACGUGGCGGAGGACCGGGAUGUUCUGUCCUGGCGCCUCGAGCCCUCUGGACGUUUCUCCACGAAGUCCCUGUACGGCGCCAUUGCGCCCUCGAUGGCCCCGGAGCCAUUUAGCCUAAUCUGGGACAUCCGCCUCCCGCUGAAGAUCAGGAUCUUCCUGUAG
rnacentral:rRNA from 1 species